GCCCGCCUAGCUCAAUCGGAUAGAGCGUCAGACUCUUAUCUACACAGGCGGGAAUCUGAAGGCUGCGAGUUCGACCCUCGCGGUGGGCU
rnacentral:tRNA from 1 species